rnacentral:rRNA from 1 species
GAUGAACGCUGGCGGCGUGCCUAAUACAUGCAAGUCGAGCGAACAGACGAGGAGCUUGCUCCUUCGACGUUAGCGGCGGACGGGUGAGUAACACGUAGGUAACCUACCUAUAAGACUGGGAUAACUUCGGGAAACCGGAGCUAAUACCGGAUAAUAUUUCGAACCGCAUGGUUCGAUAGUGAAAGAUGGCUUUGCUAUCACUUAUAGAUGGACCUGCGCCGUAUUAGCUAGUUGGUAAGGUAACGGCUUACCAAGGCAACGAUACGUAGCCGACCUGAGAGGGGGAGCCGCCAACCUGGAACUGAAACACGGUCCAGCCUCCUACGGGAGGAAGCAGUGGGAAAUCGUCCGCAAUGGGCGAAAGCCUGACGGAGAAACGCCGGGGGGGGGAAGAAGGUUUUCGGAUCGUAAACCGCUUUUAUUAGGGAAAAAAAAACGUGUAAGUAACGGUCACCGUCUUGACGGUACCAAAUCAGAAAGCCCCGGCAAACUACGU